AUGGAUUUGCUGAAGCACAAGGUCCAGUCCCUGGCCGUCUUCCCCCUAACAAAUAAGGAGACUGGUAUGUCCAAAAAGCAAUUAAAACGGAGCCUAGAGAAAAUAGAAAAGGUUAUAAAUGAAGCACACCAAAUUUUGGAAUGGCUGAACUUGCCCACCGUAAAUAAGGGUGACGAGAGACAACCUAUUGCAGCCAAUGCAUGUACCACUGCAACUUCCCCAGUAAAAGUAAUUGGUCGAGAUGAGGAUCGUGACAAGAUCAUAGAAAUGCUUCGUGAGAAGGCAGGUCAUGGUCAGACAAACAUGAAUAGCGGUCUAUGUUAUUCUGUUGUUGGAAUUCAUCUCAUAGGUGGGUCUGGGAAAUCAACCCUUGCACAGUUUGUUUAUGCCCAGGAAGAAAAGGACAAGCUAGCCGAAAAAGAUGGUCAUUUUGACAUUCUAUUAUGGGUUUAUGUCUCUAAAAAAUCUAGCAUUGAGGCCAUUUACAGGAAAAUGUUCGAGACAAUUCAAGGACCACUUCCGCUUCGGUAG
rnacentral:rRNA from 1 species